rnacentral:ncRNA from 1 species
UCCUGGGGCUGGAGAAGGUCCCAAGGGUUGGUCUGUUCGCCCAUUAAAGCGCUACGUGAGCUGGGUUCAGACCGUCGUGAGACAGGUCGGUCUCUAUCCUCUGUCAGCGUUGGAAUCUUGAGGGAAGUUGUUCGUAGUACGAGAGGACCCGAAUGAGUCAACCGCUAGUGUUCCUGUUGUCGCCGUCAGGUGCAUAGCAGGGUAGCUACGUUGAUAUAUGAUAACCGCUGAAAGCAUCUAAGCGGGAAGCAGAUCCCAAGAUUAGGAUUCCUCUCUCCGAUUUAUCGGAGAGGAAGACCCCUGGAAGACCACCAGGUAAUCGGCGGGAGGUGUACGCACAGCAAUGUGUUUAGCCAACCCGUCCAGUAAAAUCUUUUUUUACUGGCCC